rnacentral:rRNA from 1 species
UGGGGAAUAUUGCGCAAUGGGGGGCAACCCUGACGCAGCAACGCCGCGUGAUUGAAGAAGGUCUUCGGAUUGUAAAAAUCUUUUAUCAAGGACGAAGAAGUGACGGUACUUGAUGAAUAAGCUCCGGCUAACUACGUGCC